rnacentral:rRNA from 1 species
AAACCAACCGGGAUUGCCUUAGUAACGGCGAGUGAAGCGGCAAAAGCUCAAAUUUGAAAUCUGGUACCUUCGGUGCCCGAGUUGUAAUUUGUAGAAGGUAACUUUGGGGCUGGUCCUUGUCUAUGUUCCUUGGAACAGGACGUCAUAGAGGGUGAGAAUCCCGUGUGGCGAGGAUCCCAGUUCUUUGUAAAGUGCUUUCGAAGAGUCGAGUUGUUUGGGAAUGCAGCUCUAAGUGGGUGGUAAAUUCCAUCUAAAGCUAAAUAUUGGCGAGAGACCGAUAGCGAACAAGUACAGUGAUGGAAAGAUGAAAAGAACUUUGAAAAGAGAGUGAAAAAGUACGUGAAAUUGUUGAAAGGGAAGGGCAUUUGAUCAGACAUGGUGUUUUGCGCCCUCUGCUCCUUGUGGGUGGGGGAAUCUCGCAGCUCACUGGGCCAGCAUCGGUUUUGGCGGCAGGAUAAAUCUGCAGGAAUGUAACUUGCCUCGGUAAGUAUUAUAGCCUGUAGGAAUACUGCCAGCUGGGACUGAGGACUGCGACUUUACGUCAAGGAUGCUGGCAUAAUGGUUAUAUGCCGC